AAUAGAAACAAACACAUGCCUACCUAAAACUAUCAUUUACUGGUACAAACGUAAAGAGUAAAAUAAGGUAUCCUAAUUAUAUCGAGACAGAAUCCUACUAAUACGUCAAUGAUUUCAAAUUUCCUGCAUCUCAAAUAAUACAUACAAAUGUGCAGCGACUCCUAACUUUAGUUAUGGGCACGCAGUUGAGGAUUUUAUAACUUUGAUACUGACACCGUAAAUACAAUAUUUUUGGUUCUAUUAAGUGCCGGUUAAUUCUGCCGGUUAAUUCGUUUAGGAAAACAUUAAUUUUUUGUCUAGGAAACAAGUUACAUAAUCAUAAGUUAGCUGAAGCUAGACACCACAUGAGAAUUGGUGACAACCUAGAGAAUAUUAGGGUAAAGCUUAUAUUACUUCCAUCAACUUCAAUUCAAAUGGUUAAUUUAAGCAAUUCGAUGAGCGGCACAAAUAACCAUUGCAAUCAAAAAAAAACUUGUGACCAAAACUCGUAAAGCGUUCUGCCCUUAUCAGUUGACAUCUAACGAAAGUCACCCAGAGGGUCUAUAGCAGAAAAGGCCAAUAUACCUUAAACUUUGCAUUUUCAUGGCAAAGUACUUCUAUUAUACGUUGCGUAUCUGCAUAUAGCCGUUUUCGCUUGAUAAGAAUUUUCGCAAAAGCAAAAUGUCCGAUUUUGAAGGCGCAACGAAAAAUGUGUCUACGUCGAUGAGCCAAUUGAUCCGAUCACUUCAUACCUUCAGUGUUUAACAACACGAAAUGGUCAGUCGACGCUCAGUGUUACAAUGCAUCAAUCUAUGUAUAAUCGCAUCGAAGAAACGAAGUGACGUCAGGAAACGCUUGAAAUAAUGACGCGAGCUGCAAGAGCAUCUCAGAUCAUUUUUGAUGGACGUACGGGCGUCGACCUAUAAACCACACCGAAAGGCAGAAAGCAUAAUCGUUACCAGUACCUGAAGGGUACAAUGGUCAAUGGUUUUCUAGCUGGAAAAAAGUCAGUAUAGUCGAGGGAUCGGCUAUUGAAACACGUUUGCAAGUGCAUUGCGCGAAAGAUCAAAGCAAAGCGGAUAACCGACUUUAUCCUGCCACAGAGAGAUGCCUAAACAAGACUGUACUUUAAACUUAUGACAAGUCUAACUUAUGACACGAGGCUGACGAGGCACUUCCGUAAAGUGGUAACAUCAUAGCACGCUAACCGAAAUUUUCAGAGAAUGCUACGGCAAUCGUUACUUCUACAGUUUCUGCCACGAAUAGCGCGCUCAUCGCUCCUUUAUGCAGAGUGGCGUGCUAAUUCCAUGGCAUCAUCAGUCAGCCUCCACCUUCUUGCCGCUCCCUUAAUCAAAGUUGUGGUUCUGGAAUGGUUUGCGCCUCUCUGCCAGGAAAGCACUGAGCGUCAAGGAUUAGCGGGAAAGCUUACACAACGGAGAUAGACGAAACACACUUGAAGAAGUUUUACUGCAACGUGGAUCUUACGAUGUACCUGACGUUGCUAUAUCUUUAAUAUAGUAAUGAAUCUGCCCUAGAAGAAAGGACCAACGCUAUGGCCGUGCUUGUCUUAGAGGAUGGUUCCGUAGGUCUUUCUGUAUGUCAUUAGCCUCAUUGGAUAAAAUAUAAUUACGCUACAAAUCCAACAGGGUACUGGACAAAAUUUCGCAUCCUUGCCUGUUUUUGAGGAGGUACUCCAACUGUUUACGAAUUUAGCAAAAAAUAACCACGGUACAGCGCUCAAGUCGCUAGGAUUUCGUCGAAGCGAGGAGUGGGCAUACGUCAGAAGUUUCUCGAGAUUACCUAGAGACACGCACAUGAUACAGACGGUACACGUUUAAAGGAGUUAAGACGGCUAACGUCAGUUAUGAACAUCUCUUUAAUCUUUACGCAUGGAACCUAGAGUGCGUACAUAGCAGAGCGUUUUUCAACCGUUACCUACCCAAAGAU